UUAUACGACCGCAAAAAAUUUUGCGGUCGUAUAUUGGUAUGACGUUGGCGUCGUCGUCGUCGUCGUCGUCGUCCGACGUCGUCCAAAGACACAGUGGUUUUCGCACUCUAACUUUAGUUUAGGUGAAUGGAUCUCUAUGAAAUUUUACCAUAAGGUUCAAUACCACAAAAGGAAGGUUGGGAUUGAUUUUGGGGGUAAUGGUAGCAACAGUUAAGGAAUUAGGGGCCAAAAAGGGGCCAAAAAUAAGCAUUUUUGUAACUUCCAGACAUAACUUGUGUGUUAGUGUAUGAAUCUCUCUGACAUUGUACCACAAGGUUCCAUAUCACACAGGGAAUGCUGGGAUUGAUUUUGGGGGUAAUUGCCUUGAAAUUUUAGGAAUUAGGGGCCAAAAAAGGGGCAAAAAACAAGCAUUUUUCUAGUUUCAUGACAAUAACUUGUGUGUUAGUGUUUGGAUAUUUCUGAAAUUGUACUACAAGGUUCCAUAUCACAAAGGGAAGGCUGUAAUUGAUUUUGGGGGUAAUUGCCUCAAAAUUUUAGGAAUUAGGGGCCAAAAAAGGGGCAAAAAACAAGCAUUUUUCUAGUUUCAUGACAAUAACUUGUGUGUAAGUGUUUGGAUAUUUCUGAAAUUGUACUACAAGGUUCCAUAUCACAAAGGGAAAGCUGUAAUUGAGUUUGGGGGUAAUUGCCCGAAACGUUUAGGAA